rnacentral:rRNA from 1 species
UACGUAGGGUGCAAGCGUUAAUCGGAAUUACUGGGCGUAAAGCGUGCGCAGGCGGUGAUGUAAGACAGAUGUGAAAUCCCCGGGCUCAACCUGGGAACUGCAUCUGUGACUGCAUCGCUGGAGUGCGGCAGAGGGGGAUGGAAUUCCGCGUGUAGCAGUGAAAUGCGUAGAUAUGCGGAGGAACACCGAUGGCGAAGGCAAUCCCCCUGGGCCUGCACUGACGCUCAUGCACGAAAGCGUGGGGAGCAAACAGG